GGUAUGAUUUUGUUGCUGGCACUGAUAACAGUGCAAAAAAGACAGUCAUCCACCCGCGUUUGGUAUGAGAUUUUGCCAUUGAUGAUUUCGUUGUCAUCUUCUCAGUUGUCGCAGAAAUCUUCUUCUUCUCACCCAAACUGUAGGCUUCCUCACAAACUCAAGCAACCGAAGCCCCAUCUCAAGCUUCAACAGGGCAUUGUCUCCUUCAACCCCGAAGUCGUCAGUUCUGGGCUGAACACAUAUCCUGCAUCGGCAUGGAAGGGUGAGAGUGCAAGAUUCGUCACAGAAGAGAGCGUAUCAGAGAGAGGGGGAGAGAGCAUGCCGCCUCCGCUUCCGAGGGUGGCUUUACACAACGUCUCGUGCAUGCGCAACGCCCAAGUGGUGCUCCGCGACAUCAACGUUUCCGUGCACGACGGCGGGGCACUCGUGCUGACGGGCAGCAAUGGUGCAGGCAAAUCCACCUUCCUCCGCAUGCUGGCCGGGUUCUCACGGCCAUCGGCGGGGCGCAUCCUAUGGGAUGGCCACGACGUUACCUCCGCAGGCGUCGCUGCCCAGUGGCGUCUGCAGCUCAACUGGCUCUCCCUCAAGGACGCGAUCAAGGAAGACCUCACCGUCCUCGACAAUGUUCAAUGGUUCGAGGUGCUCGAGAAAAAGGAUGGCCUUCGCUCCCUCCCUGCCCUGGAGUUCAUGGGCCUCGGCCGCCUCGUCCACGAGAAGGCCCGCAUCCUCUCGAUGGGACAGCGCAAGCGCCUCCAGUUGGCCCGCAUGCUGGCCAUUGACCGCCCGAUCUGGCUCAUGGAUGAGCCCUCCGUCGCCCUCGACUACGACGGUGUCAAACUCCUUGAGGCCAUGAUCGCUGACCACCGGAAGAAGGGGGGCAUCGUCUUCGUCGCCACUCACCUUCCCAUCGAGAUGGAGGAUGCCAUGAAUCUUAGGCUGCCGCCCAGGUUCCCCCGGAGGAAGAUCCUCGUCGACCUUGUGCGUUGAUCCCUGUUUCUUGAUUGCGGACGAAUCCAAUCGACAGUCCAGGAGAGUGUGAAUGCUUGAACGCAUCCGUUAUAUAAAAAAAGAAAUGGGGAGAGACUGUGAUAUGAGGGAAAAUUGUCAGUGGAGCCUCUGAACAUUGAUAUGAAAAUUUGAGAUGUUGCUUACUUAGAUAUCGGCGGAUGCUAUACCAAACAUCCUCAGAGGAGGUCUUCUCAAAGCAAAAGUUGGGAAGAGAUCACCAAUGUCAGUUGAAGAUCUCAGCCACUUCAUCUCAGCAACCAUGAGUGGUGUGACCUGCUUCGUUAGUUUCCAUGGCCAGCUCAACUCUGAUUCUGGAAACCUGAUGUGAACCUUAUCCCCUACCCAGGCUUCCGUUUCUUCAUGGUCUGUUUUUGCCCAACUCUCUUCCUGUGGAUCCCAGCGGUUCCAUGCCCUCACUGUUCCUGAGCUCACCCAACAAUUGUGGGAUGCCAAGAACAUGAUGUGUGCUGCACAGUGCACACCCUCAUCAUGGCAGUUAUUUUAUUGCCACAGAAGCACCAAGAAGUACAUGAGCAGGUAAUAAUUAAUGUUCAGAAUAAGAACUCUUCCUCCUCGAUUGAGUGCAUUCCCAACAUCAAGUCCGACAUUCCUUGGCAAAUCUACAUCCAUCCAUUAGAUGUUUUGCAGCAUAAAUGAGCAAUCCACGGCUACGUGAAGGAGGAAAGCUUUCUUGUACUGUGUACACUGGUGAAGACAUGGAUGAGAUGGAGUCAAAGGCUGAGAGCAACAUGAACAACCUGGUGUUGGAUAUGAAAAGAACCAGGAUGCAACUGCAGCCAAGGAGUGCGAGCAAGAGGAAAUGGAGGAGAAGUCAGCUGCCUGAGUACCUGUGUCCUACUUAAAUUGCUUUCCUCUCUAUCUAGUUGUGUAUCAACAAUUCCUUAAUCUGCUUGUUGUCUGCUUCUGUAGAUUUUCAGAAUGUGGACCUAGAAAAAUUGUAUUCUGGCUUAGGAAGGGGUCUGCAGUGGUAUUGUGUGUUGAUUCUUUUUCCUUUUUCUUUGCCUAUUUUCUCAUUUAUGAUGAUCGAUGAAAGAUGGCUGGUUAUGGUUU